ensembl:lncRNA
GAGAGGGUUCUGGGGGAGAGAGAGUGUUUUAGGGGAGAGAGGGGGAGAGGUGGGAGGGAGAGAGCGGUUUGGGUGGAGAGAGAGGAAGAUGUUUGGCAAGGGGUGGGAGAGACGUUGAGGAUCUCAACACCCACUGUACUAUUUCUGUUUGCUGCGUGGAUAAUUCGAAGCAAACCUCAACGAAGGUGGGAAACGGAGGAGGAUGAGGUGAGGGAGGAGUGUGGUGGUUGGAGGAGGGGUGUACAGGGAGGAGGAACAGGCGUAUCGGAGGAGAAGGAUGAGGCAGGCAGGGGAAAAGUACUGAGUUGAGGAAAGGGCGAGAGUGAGACGGAGGAGGAUAAGAUGGAGGCGAGAGGCACGGGGAUGAGGGAUAGAGUUGGAGCGCUGCGUAUGGAGACAGUGAUGAAGUGCAAGAGAGAGAGAGAGAGAGAGGGAGAGGGGUGAGAGAGAAGGGGAGAGGGAGCAAGGGAAGGUGUAGAGAGAGGAGAGGGAGAGAAGAGAGAGCGCGAGAGGGUGGAAUAAUGGAUGAGGACAAUAGAAGUACAUUGGGGCAGGUGUGAGAGUGUGUGUGUGUGUGUGUGUGAGUGACAACGAGCAGUGAGACAUCAGAUCAGAAGUGCAGGAUGACUUAAGGUUAUUUAUAGUUUUAUAUAUAGUGUAUCCAGUGAUGUUGAGGCAGGUAGGUGACAUGAGCUGACAAAAUCCACCGUAUUAAUUUAACUUCUUUACCUCUUGACUUUCUACAUUAACUUUUAGAUUGAAGAACAGUUUCUACUGGAAGGCCCUAACUAUAGGAAAUGCUCAAAAAUACUGUGAGUUAUAAUAUCCAAGGUAUUAUUAGAAUUGAAAAUUAUUUAAAAAAAAAAAUCCUGCAUUUUUCUUCUACCAAUGCCUACCCAUGAAACCCCAACCACAGUGUUACUCAAACCACCGUUUUUAAUUUACACCGUUAGAAACAAAUGUUAAAAGGCUUGUAACUUGUCUACCUGUACACACACACACACACACACACACACACACACACACACACACACACACACACACAC